UUAUUCAGCUUUACAGAAGAUGCGGAGUGGAGCAGGACAAGAGGGAAGAGGGGAGGUCCAUGAUAAGAACAGUGAAGAGCUUCCGUAUAUGCUGCCGGCGCCGCUGCUGCCUGUCAGUGUGACAGGCGCGGGCAGCACCAGCUAGCAGCAAAGGGUAGUAGCAGAGCAGGGAGAGCGCCUCAUGAGUGCAGCGCCUCCCUGCUUUGCAGGACUUGCUGAGCGGCUAGCGCCGGCACUGGUCAUAGGGACCUCACCAGAGGCGCACCGAAGGCCUCCUCUCCACAUUGCAACCGUGCAUACUGUCCUCCGCAACGCUGCCACUCAGGGCCUUCUCCGCACCGCCGCUGCCUAGGGCCUUCUUCACACUGCCGCUGCCCAGAGCCUUCUCCGCACCGCUGCCGCCAUGGCCUUCUCACCGUCAACUACCCGCCUCUGCACCGCUGCCGACCACAGCCCCCUCCCCACCUCCGCUGCUCACUAGGUCUUUCCCAGUCCCAAACUACAGUACUCUAUGAAUGCAGCACAUCCUUCAGGUCAACACAUUUUUGUCACAAAUCUGUGACACUUCAUUUGCUACAUAGACAACCACAAAGGACAGCACACACUGGUUCUGUGAAGCAGAAAGCUUGCUGAUUUGGCAAGUAAACAAUCUUCAAGAUGUCUUACCAAGGCUUUGCUGUAUGUUGAAUCACUAUGGUCUUUUGGUGAUGGUGAGGUCUGAGUUGUGUCUGUCUUAAGCAACUGAAAUAUGCUCUUCACUGGCUGUAAAUCAGGAGACUGACUUGAUCUGGGAGAGGUUUAUUUCUGUUUCCCUUGAUGAACGUAGGGAAUUUUUAGUCCUUGUUAGCUGCAGGAUGAAUCUGUAACCAAUGAGUCAUAACAUUUUUCUUUCUUUAAUAUGUUUCUGUAUACAUCUGAAUUCAUAUUACUGCUACAAUCAUUGGCUACAUUAUCAAUAAAUGUGAGUGUUCCAGUUGCAGAAGCAGUCAUGCAUGUACAUACCAUGACAAUACUUCUUUUGGAUUAUCUGUAGACUAUUCCUUCCUACACACUUUUACCUGCCAUCAAGGGGAGAGGUUCAUAUUUGUGUUAUCUGUAUAUGGCUUUCAGUUCCAGAACUCAAUUUAAAAUAUUCAAAAUCGUUGAUCUUGCAAUGCCCAGUUCCUUUACUAUACUUCAGGUUGAAUUAUUGUGCACUCAGAUUAAAUUAUUUUCUUUUGUAGAUUUAUGGACCUUAAAGAUGGAAGAGAACAUCAAAGACGAUAUAUAGUACAACCCUACAUUUUCCCAGCUGUGUAUGUGUGCACAUGCAAUGCACCAAGAAACACAUGAGCAUUAAGAUACAGCUGCUGUCACAACAUACAUAUACAUACAGAUGGGUCCACAUUUAUCUUGGCCUUUAAUAGGAUUAACUGAGUAAGGUCAGUCAGAUUUAGGGGGACAUUUACUAA